GUCAAAUCUGCUCAAUAGAAAAUUAAAUAGCUGCAGUAUAAAUAACUGUACAAAGGUAGCAUAAUAAUUAGUUUUUUAAUUAAAAACUUGAAUGAAAGAUUUAAUGAAAUAUAAACUUUAUUAAAUUUAUUAAAUAAAUUUUUUAAUUAAAUUAAAAAAUUUAAAUAUAUAUAAAAGACGAAAAGACCCUAAAGAAUUUUAUUAAUUUAUUAAUAAAAUUAUUAAUUAAUUAAUUUAAUUGGGGAAAUUUUAAAAUAUAAUUAAUUUUUAAUUAAAAAAACAUAUAUUUUUGAACUUAUAAUAUUUUAUUUACAAAUAAAAUUAAAUUACCUUAGGGAUAACAGCAUAAUUUU
rnacentral:rRNA from 1 species